GAUCCUAGGACUCUUCUCUGGAUGGUUUGGAUAGAUCCUUGCAUAAACGAAUCAAAGACUCAAGUUUAUCAAGGUAAGUGGAUCGAUUGGUGACACAAGAGGCUGCGGAAAGGCUCCUUGAUACUCCUAGGCUAUAGAUCGGAUAUGACACACCAAACUAAGGCCCUUAACACUGGAUAUUACACACCAGCAGACUGGAUAUU
rnacentral:lncRNA from 1 species